rnacentral:snRNA from 2 species
GGAUAUGAGAGUAAUUUGGCUGUGACACCUGCCACCGCAUUGAUUGUCAGGGUUGAUUCAGCUGAUCUGGCUGAAUAGACGGGUGUGCCCCUGCCUCCCUCACUGCUCCACCUGCGUCCCUCCUGAAGCUGCACACUUGGUCAAAGAGGGCAACCUUCUCUGACAGAGGAGGAUCAUUCUUUGGUCAAAGGCAUGCAAAAAGUUGCCAGUAUCCCCAAACAAGAACAAGAAAAG